CAACCCUCAAGCUCUGCUUGGUAUUGGGCGUCACCACCUGGUGCGCCCCAAAAACAGUGGCGGUGCCGUCUGGCUUCAAGCGUAGUAAUUUUUCUCGCUCCGGAGUCCAGGCGAGUGCUCGCCAGAACCCCCAAUUUAUCAA
rnacentral:misc_RNA from 1 species